GUGGGGAUUAGUGGCGAACGGGUGAGUAACACGUGGGCAAUCUGCCCUUCACUCUGGGACAAGCCCUGGAAACGGGGUCUAAUACCGGAUAACACUCCUGCCUGCAUGGGCGGGGGUUAAAAGCUCCGGCGGUGAAGGAUGAGCCCGCGGCCUAUCAGCUUGUUGGUGAGGUAACGGCUCACCAAGGCGACGACGGGUAGCCGGCCUGAGAGGGCGACCGGCCACACUGGGACUGAGACACGGCCCAGACUCCUACGGGAGGCAGCAGUGGGGAAUAUUGCACAAUGGGCGAAAGCCUGAUGCAGCGACGCCGCGUGAGGGAUGACKGCCUUCGGGUUGUAAACCUCUUUCAGCAGGGAAGAAGCGAAAGUGACGGUACCUGCAGAAGAAGCGCCGGCUAACUACGUGCCAGCAGCCGCGGUAAUACGUAGGGCGCAAGCGUUGUCCGGAAUUAUUGGGCGUAAAGAGCUCGUAGGCGGCUUGUCACGUCGGUUGUGAAAGCCCGGGGCUUAACCCCGGGUCUGCAGUCGAUACGGGCAGGCUAGAGUUCGGUAGGGGAGAUCGGAAUUCCUGGUGUAGCGGUGAAAUGCGCAGAUAUCAGGAGGAACACCGGUGGCGAAGGCGGAUCUCUGGGCCGAUACUGACGCUGAGGAGCGAAAGCGUGGGGAGCGAACAGGAUUAGAUACCCUGGUAGUCCACGCCGUAAACGGUGGGCACUAGGUGUGGGCAACAUUCCACGUUGUCCGUGCCGCAGCUAACGCAUUAAGUGCCCCGCCUGGGGGAGUACGGCCGCAAGGCUAAAACUCAAGGAAUUGACGGGGGCCCGCACAGCGGCGGAGCAUGKGGCUU
rnacentral:rRNA from 1 species